rnacentral:rRNA from 1 species
GAUGAACGCUGGCGGCGUGCUUAACACAUGCAAGUCGAACGGUGAAAGAGAGCUUGCUCUCUGGAUCAGUGGCGAACGGGUGAGUAACACGUGAGCAAUCUGCCCCUGACUCUGGGAUACGCGCUGGAAACGGCGUCUAAUACCGGAUACGAGCUGCGAAGGCAUCUUCAGCAGCUGGAAAGAACUUCGGUCAGGGAUGAGCUCGCGGCCUAUCAGCUAGUUGGUGAGGUAAUGGCUCACCAAGGCGUCGACGGGUAGCCGGCCUGAGAGGGUGACCGGCCACACUGGGACUGAGACACGGCCCAGACUCCUACGGGAGGCAGCAGUGGGGAGUAUUGCACAAUGGGCGCAAGCCUGAUGCAGCAACGCCGCGUGAGGGACGACGGCCUUCGGGUUGUAAACCUCUUUUAGCAGGGAAGAAGCGAAAGUGACGGUACCUGCAGAAAAAGCACCGGCUAACUACGUGCCAGCCGCCGCGGUAACAC